AACGAACGCUGUCGGCAGGCUUAACACAUGCAAGUCGAACGCCCCGCAAGGGGAGUGGCAGACGGGUGAGUAACACGUGGGGAUCUGCCCAAUGGUACGGAAUAGCUCCGGGAAACUGGAAUUAAUACCGUAUAAGCCCGCAAGGGGAAAGAUUUAUCGCCAUUGGAUGAACCCGCGUCGGAUUAGCUAGUUGGUGGGGUAAAGGCCUACCAAGGCGACGAUCCGUAGCUGGUCUGAGAGGAUGAUCAGCCACACUGGGACUGAGACACGGCCCAGACUCCGACGGGAGGCAGCAGUGGGGAAUAUUGGACAAUGGGCGCAAGCUUGAUCCAGCCAUGCCGCGUGAGUGAUGAAGGCCUUAGGGUUGUAAAGCUCUUUCGCCGACGAAGAUAAUGACGGUAGUCGGAGAAGAAGCCCCGGCUAACUUCGUGCCAGCCGCCGCGGUAAUAC
rnacentral:rRNA from 1 species